UUUGGCCUACGGGACGCAGCAGUGAGGAAUAUUGGUCAAUGGGCGAGAGCCUGAACCAGCCAGGUCGCGUGAAGGAUGACGGCCCUACGGGUUGUAAACUUCUUUUGUCAGGGAGCAAUUGGGUCCACGUGUGGGCUUAGCGGGAGUACCUGAAGAAAAAGCAUCGGCUAACUCCGUGCCAGCAGCCGCGGUAAUACGGAGGAUGCGAGCGUUAUCCGGAUUUAUUGGGUUUAAAGGGUGCGUAGGCGGGCUUUUAAGUCAGCGGUAAAAAUUCGGGGCUCAACCCCGUCCGGCCGUUGAAACUG
rnacentral:rRNA from 1 species